CAAAGACGGUAACAGCCCGGUAGUUGAAAUGGCUUUCCCUCCAGAGUGGAUCCUGAGUACGGCGGAACACGUGAAAUUCCGUCGGAAUCCGGGAGGACCAUCUCCCAAGGCUAAAUACUCCCUAGUGACCGAUAGUGAACCAGUACCGUGAGGGAAAGGUGAAAAGCACCCCGGAAGGGGAGUGAAACAGUUCCUGAAACCGUGUGCCUACAAGUAGUUAGAGCCCGUUAAUGGGUGAUAGCGUGCCUUUUGUAGAAUGAACCGGCGAGUUACGAUUUGUUGCAAGGUUAAGCGGAAAAAGCGGAGCCGUAGCGAAAGCGAGUCUGAAUAGGGCGCAUAAGUAACAGGUCGUAGACCCGAAACCAGGUGAUCUACCCAUGUCCAGGAUGAAGGUAAGGUAAUACUUACUGGAGGUCCGAACCCACGCACGUUGAAAAGUGCGGGGAUGAGGUGUGGGUAGCGGAGAAAUUCCAAUCGAACUUGGAGAUAGCUGGUUCUCUCCGAAAUAGCUUUAGGGCUAGCCUCGAGGUAAAGAGUCAUGGAGGUAGAGCACUGUUUGGACUAGGGGCCCUUCUCGGGUUACCGAAUUCAGAUAAACUCCGAAUGCCAUGUACUUAUACUCGGGAGUCAGACUGCGAGUGAUAAGAUCCGUAGUCGAAAGGGAAACAGCCCAGACCACCAGUUAAGGUCCCCAAAUAUAUGUUAAGUGGAAAAGGAUGUGGGGUUGCUUAGACAACCAGGAUGUUGGCUUAGAAGCAGCCACCAUUGAAAGAGUGCGUAAUAGCUCACUGGUCGAGUGACCCCGCGCCGAAAAUGUACCGGGGCUAAACAUAUUACCGAAACUGUGGAUGAACCUCUUUAGAGGUUCGUGGUAGGAGAGCGUUCUAAGGGCGGUGAAGUCAGACCGGAAGGACUGGUGGAGCGCUUAGAAGUGAGAAUGCCGGUAUGAGUAGCGAAAGAAGGGUGAGAAUCCCUUCCACCGAAUAUCUAAGGUUUCCUGAGGAAGGCUCGUCCGCUCAGGGUUAGUCGGGACCUAAGCCGAGGCCGAUAGGCGUAGGCGAUGGACAACAGGUAGAGAUUCCUGUACCAGUGCUAAUUGUUUAACCGAUGGGGUGACACAGAAGGAUAGGGAAUCGCACGAAUGGAAAUGUGCGUCCAAGCAGUGAGUGUGAG
rnacentral:rRNA from 1 species